rnacentral:rRNA from 1 species
CGGGUGAGUAAUGCUGGGAAACUGCCUGAUGGAGGGGGAUAACUGCUGGAAACGGUAGCUAAUACCGCAUAACGUCGCAAGACCAAAGAGGGGGACCUUCGGGCCUCUUGCCAUCGGAUGUGCCCAGAUGGGAUUAGCUAGUAGGUGGGGUAACGGCUCACCUAGGCGACGAUCCCUAGCUGGUCUGAGAGGAUGGCCAGCCACACUGGAACUGAGACACGGUCCAG